rnacentral:rRNA from 1 species
UACGAAGGGGGCUAGCGUUACUCGGAUUGACUGGGCGUAAAGGGUGCGUAGGCUGUGCGGAAAGUUGGGCGUGAAAUACCUCAGCUUAACUGAGGAACUGCGUUCAAAACUACCGUGCUCGAGGGAGACAGAGGUAAGCGGAACUUAGGGUGGAGCGGUGAAAUGCGUUGAUAUCCUAAGGAACACCGGUGGCGAAAGCGGCUUACUGGGUCUCUUCUGACGCUGAGGCACGAAAGCUAGGGUAGCGAACGGG